rnacentral:rRNA from 1 species
AUUGAACGCUGGCGGCAGGCCUAACACAUGCAAGUCGAGCGAGCGGCGGACGGGUGAGUAAUGUCUGGGUAACUGCCUGAUGGAGGGGGAUAACUACUGGAAACGGUAGCUAAUACCGCAUACCAUCAGAUGUGCCCAGAUGGGAUUAGCUAGUAGGUGGGGUAACGGAUCACCUAGGCGACGAUCCCUAGCUGGUCUGAGAGGAUGACAAGCCCCACGGGAACCGAGACACGGUCAAGACUCGUACGGUAGGGAGCGGUGGGGAAUAUUGAACAAUGGGCGCAAGCCUGAUGCAACCAAGCCGCGUGUGUGAAGAAGGCCUUCGGGUUGUAAAGUACUUUCAGCGGGGAGGCGUUACCCGAAGAAGAAGCACCGGCUAACUCCGUGCCAGCAGCCGCGGUAAUAC